rnacentral:rRNA from 1 species
UACGAAGGGGGGCUAGCGUUGUUCGGAAUCACUGGGCGUAAAGGGCGCGUAGGCGGCUUUAUAAGUCGGGGGUGAAAGCCUGUGGCUCAACCACAGAAUUGCCUUCGAUACUGUAGAGCUUGAGACCGGAAGAGGUAAGUGGAACUGCGAGUGUAGAGGUGAAAUUCGUAGAUAUCGGAAGGAACACCGGUGGCGAAGGCGGCGCGCUGGAUCUCUUCUGACGCUGAGGCGCGAAAAGCCAGGGGAGCAAACGGG